rnacentral:rRNA from 1 species
AACGAACGUAGCGGCGCGCAACACAUGCAAGUCGCACGAGAAAGGGAUUCGUCCCCGGUACAGUGGCGCACGGGUGAGUAACACGUGGAUAAUCUUCCCUCGGGCGGGGGAUAACCUUCCGAAAGGAGGGCUAAUACCGCAUAGGACCACGACGCCGAAAGGUGUUGGGGUGAAAGCAGGCCUCUCUACAGAAGCUUGCACCUGAGGAUGAGUCCGCGGCCCAUCAGCUAGUUGGCAGGGUAAUGGCCUACCAAGGCGAAGACGGGUAGCUGGUCUGAGAGGAUGAUCAGCCACACUGGAACUGAGACACGGUCCAGACUCCUACGGGAGGCAGCAGUGGGGAAUCUUGCGCAAUGGGCGAAAGCCUGACGCAGCGACGCCGCGUGAGUGAUGAAGGCCUUCGGGUUGUAAAGCUCUGUGGGGAGAGACGAAUAAGUAGGGGUUAAUACCCUCUGCGAUGACGGUAUCUCCUUAGCAAGCACCGGCUAACUCUGUGCCAGCAGCCGCGGUAAGACAGAGGGUGCAAACGUUGUUCGGAAUUACUGGGCGUAAAGCGUGUGUAGGCGGCUUUGCAAGUCGGAUGUGAAAGCCCCGGGCUCAACCCGGGAAGUGCACUCGAUACUGCAGAGCUUGAGUGUGGGAGAGGUUGGUGGAAUUCUCGGUGUAGAGGUGAAAUUCGUAGAUAUCGAGAGGAACACCGGCGGCGAAGGCGGCCAACUGGA